ACAGAGAUCUGCCUGCCUCUGCCUCCCAAGUGUUGGGAUUGAAGGCGUGUGCCGCCACCACCCGGCCUAUACAGGUUUUCUUUAGUUAUUUUCUUAUACACUGAGUGUAAUGUAAUAGAUGGUGGGAAAGAGGUAUCAUUUUCUACCACUCACAGACACAGAAGAGAAUGAUGCAUUGGUUGAGAGUGGUUCUUUUCCUUGAAAUGUUCUUGCAGUCAUAGGAGUAUGCAUGGUACUGUGUAUCUAGUAUAUAAAAAUGCCUUUGUUUAAUCUUUUGGUGUGCUUAGAGAUGCCAGGAGAGUCAUUUUAUUUGAUUUAUGGGACACUUAAGAAGUUGAUAAGGUUUUACAACAAACCAUACUUUCUGUGAAUCACUAAGUUACCUAGCAGUUCUGAGAGUUCCCAGUGAGGGCUUGCAUAACUUUGUAAGCCUUUCUGCAUGGAUAUUCCAUCUAGAUCUGAGUUUGUAAGCCUUUCUGCAUGGAUAUUCCAUCUAGAUCUGAGUUUGGGGCACUUUCUUACAUCAGCGGCAUUCAAAGCAGUACUGGUACAGGUAGAGUUCUAGUAUUCUGUGGUUAUAUACUUCUAACUCAAAGCUGACCCUUUCAUACUCGUAUUUUCUUUCUCCCUCCAUAUCUACACACACACACACAUACAUACACACACACACACACACACACACACACACACACACACACACACACACUCUACCUAAAUCUCUGGAAGAAAAAAUAAGGGCAAAAUUCCUAAGAAAUUUCUAGUAAACGGCAUAAACUUUUAAAGGGGAAAAAAAAAAAACCGAGGGUGGAGGAUGGCCUAUGACUUUAAUCUCAGCACUUGGGAGGAGGUAGAGGCAGGCUCUGUGAGUUUGAGGCCAGGCUGGUGUACAGAGUGAGUUGUAACACAGCCAGGACUACACAGAGAAACCCUGUCCAAAAAACAAAACCAACUGAACUUAAGUCUGAUAAUUGUGAUAUUACAUUGCUAUUGUGUCCUACUUUAUUCAUGUUUCCAGUGUUAUGGAAACAUUUUGCAAGGAUCAGGUAACUGCAAUUACAUGUUUAUGCUAUAUGGAGAACAUUAAAGUAUUCUAAGUGGAGCAUGAUAGCUGUAGCCAACCUUAGUACAAGUACCGAAAGUUUUUGUUGAUUCAGCAAAUGUGAAUAUUAUAUGAUUCUGUCAUUUUAAAAAAUGUGAAUGGGUGCUUUUCCUGCAUGUAUUGUCAGUGCUCAUGUGCCUGGUGCCUACAGAGGCCAGCCCGCAUUGAAUCCCCUGGAACUGGAGUUUACAGUCACUCGUAUUCACACCCCAAUCUUCUGCUGCUCCCAACCUCAGCCAUCUGGGACCUGUAAUCUGGGAAAGAGGGCUGUGAUGAUUUUUCAGAACUGUUUUUCUGUGUAGCUCUUGCUGUCCUGGAACUCACUUUGGAGCCCAGGCUGGCCUUGAAUUCACAGAGAGCUUCCUGCGUCUGCCUCCCAAGUGCUGGGAUUGGUUUUGUGGAUAAAGGCACGUGCUGCUGACCCUGCCCACCUGAGUUUGAUCUCCAGCACUGACAUGGUGGAAGAGAGUGUCCUUUCAGAGCUUGCCUUCUGACCUAUGCUAUGGCAUGCGUACAUACACAAAAUAAUAUAGAUAAAAUUUUCAAUUGUCAGCAGAGUUGAGUUUAGUGCUAAUCUGAAUCUUCAUUCAGCCAGUGUUAAGGAAAUAGGGAUUAUUUUGGAUCAGAGAAAUUACCCUCUGAAUAAAAAUAAGUUUUCAAAAUAGAACUAGUCCAUCCAGCACAAAGUGGUAAGUGGUAUAUUUUUUGGGGGGGGGGGGGCGUUGUUCGAGGCAGGGUUUCUCUGUAUUGCUUUGGGGGCUGUCCUAGAAGCAAUCCGUAGACCAGACUGGCCUUGAACUCAGGAGAUCCUCUUGCCUCUGCCUCCUGAGUGCUGGGAUUAAAGGCGUGCGCCACCAACACCCAGCUUCAAAGUGGUAUCUUACUGAAGCCUUGGUUACUCUUAGCAAAUUUUUUAAGAGACCAGCUACAAAGUCUGAUUUUUUUUUAAAGGGCUAAAUCUUAUUUUUCUAUUUCUAGGUUGCUAAGAUAACAUGAAACUGCUGAAAGUCCAGCCACUGGUCUAAUACAGAAGAACGUAAAAGCCAGGAUGCUGGCUCACACUGCUGCGUUAUGUCAGUCGACUCCUGUUUAGAAGGGCACGGCCUCGUGGGCUGUGCUUACCACAGUUGACAUAGGUGCUGUUGUCCAGCAGGGAGGGUGCUGCCUGAGAUCUGAGCGGUGCGUCUACACGAAGAGCACACAAGUAUCAAAGGCCUGUGCCGCCACCACCUGGCCUAUGUGGCCUUUAGAGAGGGAGAAAAUACAGAUUUUUUUUUUAAGGUUACAUGCUUUGAGCAAAACCCCAAACGGCCCAGAAGCAGCAGCAGACCAGAAAACCUGAUGCGCACAGGACACAUAAUUUCUACAAUUAUAAUUCAAGCUUUUUUUGUUGAGACAGACAGGUUCCAGUCCUUCUGCUCCUUUGUGCACUUUAAAUACAUGUAUGAAUUCAAUUCCAAGUAGCAUUCCCCUGACUCUCAAAUGCUAUGACAGACUGACUCAUAUUUUCAAAGGAUGACCAGGAAAGGCAAAUUCAUUUAGUUGUACAGUGAAUGUUUUAUACCUUUUAUACCGAUUGUUUGGAAGGGGUUUGUGUUGUGAAUUCAGGGACGCCUCCUAGAUUCUAGGGUUACAACCAUGACCCAGCUUUAAUCUGUCUGUCUUUUUGUUUGGUUUUUCAAAGACAACUCACAAAAGACUAGUAGAGAAACUUUAAUUAAAUAGUUCUCAUAUGUACUGUUCCACAUUGUGGAAAUAAAACUAUGCAGAACAUUGUGAACAAUGGCACAAACACAUGUAGACUAUGUAUGAUAAAGCCCCUGUUGUAUGUUGCAAGUUUCCAGGAGCUGUUUGAGCAUCUGUGGUGCACCGGAAUUCCACACUGCUGGUCCCAGGCCUUUGUCAGUGCAGCUGCACUCUGUAUGCUCCUAUCAACAACUUAACCUAAGGAAGAAAGUGAAUGUUAGCAAUCACUAUUUACCAAAACAAUCUCUGUGAGUUCAAAGCCAGCCUUUCUCUAUAGUCCAGCUUUCUGUUACAUGGGUGGCAGUUUAGUACUCAAGGCAGGACUUGGACUGCUCAGCCUCACACAGGAUCAGAUACAUCAGUGUCGACAACUUGAGCAGUCACCCUGAAUAGGAAACAAAGGGGUACCUUGGCAAAGGGUGCUUCCGUCAACCGUAUAAACAACUUAUUGGGGCCGGCAACAGGACUGAAUGAGUAAACAAAGUGACUGUCCUAGAGGGAAAGAGAAUAAAGUCAGAUAGACUCACAUCUGUGAUAUCUACAAGCCCUAUAGAACCUUUUACAGUAAAGAAACCAGUGAACUGAGGGCUUUUCUUUUUAAAUUUUCGGAUAGGAUCUCCCUCACACUGGAUGGCUCAGCUUAGGUUAGAGUGUGUUAUCUUUUUAUCUGCCUUAAUGCCCUGAAACAUGGUCUCUCCCUGAUCCGGCUGGCCAGCCAGUGAACAGCUGACAUCUGUCCUCACCCACUACAUGCCUGUACAUAAAACGUUCUAGUACAUUCACCCUCAAGUUUGUCUGUUCUGUAAUUUCCUUUGCUUUAAAAAAAAAAAUCACAUCUCAGCAUUUGGGAGGAACAAUGCAAGUUCAAAACCUACCAGGACAAAAAUAUAAUGUUCUAAUACAUCUAAAACUGGAGAAAUGGCUUAUAGGUUAAAGGCUGCUCUUCCAGAGGUCCCCAGUUCAAUUUCCAGCAACCACAUGGCGGCUCACAACACACACAAACACAACCUAUAGAUGGUAUAAGCACAGAAGAAAUAGGCCUAUACUCAAUUAACCAAAAGAAAAUACACGAUAACAAGCAUAAACACAACCACUUUGUAUUCUGGCUUUAUGUAAAGAAUUUAUUCUCAGAAUGUUGGUUCUAGGACAUAUGCUAGCAUUAAAAUGAUAAGUAAACAUUAAAUAUCUUAAAA